UGGAAUUACAGCAACCAAGACUCGGUCAGCCCCUGCACGUUAGCUUUGCUUUACCUACGGCUGAGGAUUUUGUCCGACGACAUUCUCCAUUCUGAUCUGAUCUACUAUUUGGGCUGCCUCUCUCCCUAUUUGUUGGUGACUUUUGUCCUUUGGCGUUUCUGGUGUCUUUCAGCCAUCCCUCACCUAGAUAGUUCAGCGGUGGCUGAGGGAGGACCUCUUCCUACGGAUGAAGACCCAAACCAGAGCAGCAGACCAGCAGAACGUGGAGCGACCCCUGACCCAAAUGGCCUGGAGGGGGGUUCCUUAAACCCCCAACGUUCCCGUUCAGGAAGCUGAAACGCACGGACGAGUUGUCUUCACAAACCCUUUCCUUUUCCAAGCGGUAGUAAAAUGUCCCCUUUUUCCCUUUGGAUUUAUUUGGAGACCCUGGAGGGGAAGCAUGCAUGACAUCCUACACCAAGUCAACCUCCUUCCAAAUCAAGAGCAAGUUAAAAUGAUGGUUUUGAGAAAAA